rnacentral:rRNA from 2 species
GAUGAACGCUGGCGGCGUGCUUAACACAUGCAAGUCGAACGAAGCACUUUAUUUGAUUUCCUUCGGGACUGAUUAUUUUGUGACUGAGUGGCGGACGGGUGAGUAACGCGUGGGUAACCUGCCUUGUACAGGGGGAUAACAGUUGGAAACGGCUGCUAAUACCGCAUAAGCGCACAGCAUCGCAUGAUGCAGUGUGAAAAACUCCGGUGGUAUAAGAUGGACCCGCGUUGGAUUAGCUAGUUGGUGAGGUAACGGCCCACCAAGGCGACGAUCCAUAGCCGACCUGAGAGGGUGACCGGCCACAUUGGGACUGAGACACGGCCCAAACUCCUACGGGAGGCAGCAGUGGGGAAUAUUGCACAAUGGGCGAAAGCCUGAUGCAGCGACGCCGCGUGAGCGAAGAAGUAUUUCGGUAUGUAAAGCUCUAUCAGCAGGGAAGAUAAUGACGGUACCUGACUAAGAAGCACCGGCUAAAUACGUG